UACGAAGGGGGCUAGCGUUGUUCGGAAUUACUGGGCGUAAAGGGCGCGUAGGCGGCCUUCUAAGUCGGACGUGAAAUCCCUCGGCUUAACCGAGGAACUGCGUCCGAUACUGAAAGGCUUGAAUCCGGGAGAGGGAUGUGGAAUUCCAGGUGUAGCGGUGAAAUGCGUAGAUAUCGGUAGGAACACCAGUGGCGAAGGCGGUCUCCUGGGGCAUACUUGACGCUGAGGCGCGAAAGCUGGGGGAGCAAACGGG
rnacentral:rRNA from 1 species